UACGAAGGGGGCUAGCGUUGCUCGGAAUCACUGGGCGUAAAGCGCACGUAGGCGGACUCUUAAGUCGGGGGUGAAAGCCCGGGGCUCAACUCCGGAACUGCCUUUAAGACUGCAUCGCUUGAAUCCAGGAGAGGUGAGUGGAAUUCCGAGUGUAGAGGUGAAAUUCGUAGAUAUUCGGAAGAACACCAGUGGCGAAGGCGGCUCACUGGACUGGUAUUGACGCUGAGGUGCGAAAGCGUGGGGAGCAAACAGG
rnacentral:rRNA from 1 species